UACGUAGGGUGCGAGCGUUAAUCGGAAUUACUGGGCGUAAAGCGCGCGUAGGCGGCUUUGCAAGUCGGGUGUGAAAUCCCCAGGCUUAACCUGGGAACUGCAUUCGAGACUGCAUUGCUAGAGUAUGGGAGAGGGAAGUGGAAUUUCCGGUGUAGCGGUGAAAUGCGUAGAUAUCGGAAGGAACAUCAGUGGCGAAAGCGGCUUCCUGGUCCAGCACCGACGUUCAGGCACGAAAGCGUGGGGAGCAAACAGG
rnacentral:rRNA from 1 species